CUCGGGGUGCUCACUCUCUUUCUCUUCCUCCACAGGCAACGGCUGGGACACAAAGGCACAGUUAAUUCGGCUUGGUUUUGCUCUCACCUCUUCGCUGAUUGCAGCUCACAGUAAGUACUGGUUCACACAGUUCGUUCCUUGGGUGCUCACUCGCUUUCUCUUUCUCCACAGGCAACGGCUGGGACACAAAGGCACAGUUAAUUCGGCUUGGUUUUGCUCUCACCUCUUCGCUGAUUGCAGCUCACAGUAAGUACUGGUUCACACAGUUCGUUCCUUGGGUGCUCACUCGCUUUCUCUUUCUCCACAGGCAGCGGCGUAAGUACAGGUUUCCUCUGUUUCUCCUUGUGUUACUCACUCUCUCUUUCCUUUUCUCUCCACAGGUAUCAACUUGGGCACAAUAGCACAGUUAGUUUGCUUUGAAUGGCUCUCACCUCUGGGCUGGACACAGCAUACUGUAAGUACAGGGUUCGCUCUAUUCCUCCUCGUGUUAUUCACUCUCUC
ensembl:lncRNA